rnacentral:rRNA from 1 species
UACGGAGGGGGCAAGCGUUAUCCGGAAUUACUGGGCGUAAAGGGUGUGCAGGCGGGAGUGCAAGUGGUGUAUGAAAACGUCCGGCUUAACCGGGCGCUGUUAUGCCAGACUGCAGUUCUAGAGGACGAGAGAGGGGGGUGGAAUUCCGGGUGUAGUGGUGAAAUGCGUAGAGAUCCGGAAGAACACCGGUGGCGAAGGCGGUCUGCUGGGGUGAGGCUGGACGCUGAGGCGCGACAGCGUGGGGAGCAAACAGG